rnacentral:rRNA from 1 species
GACGAACGCUGGCGGCGUGCUUAACACAUGCAAGUCGAACGGAAAGGCCCUGCUUGCGGUGCUCUCGCGUCGCACGGGUGUGUGACACACGAGUGAGCUCCCCUCUCCUCUUUGUGAUAUGCCUGAAACAGUGGGUAAUACACCGUAGAGAUGCUUUCUUCAUGGUGGGGGUUGGAAAGCUUCUGCGGUGUUGGAUGGGCUCGCGGCCUAUCAGCUUGUUGGUGGGGUAGUGGCUUACCAAGGCGGUGACGGGUAGCCGGCCUGGGAGGGUGACCGGCCACAUUGGGACUGAGAUACGGCCCAGACUCCUACGGGAGGCAGCAGGGGGGAAGAUUGCACAAUGGGCGGAAGCCGGAUGCAGCGACGCCGCGUGGGGGAUGACGGCCUUCGGGUUGGAAACCCGUUUCGGCAGGGGCGAAGCUUUUGGUGACGGUACCUGGAGAAGAAGCACCGGCUAACUACGUG